rnacentral:sRNA from 1 species
GCUGGGUGUGGUGGUGCACACCUGUAAUCCCUGCAGCUCUGGAAUCUGAUGCAGGAGGAUCACAAGUUCAAAGCCAGCCUCAGCAACUUAGAAAGGCCCUAAGGAACUUAGUGAGACUGCGUCUC